CCCAGCCUGUUUCUAAGGAAGGGAGUGGGGUUGGGCGACCGCGCCCCAGCCGUCGGGCUGGGUCCAGGCUCUAGGAGCCGACACGGUGUUGGGCAAAGCCCAGGGUCAAUAGGGGAGGGUUUUAGGAUGGGGGACAGAGAAUACAGAUGACUAAGAGGUUACCAUCGAGGGGGAGCAGCAGUCGUGGAAGAUCCAGCAGUCCUGGUGCGCGGGACCCUCAAGGCCCCCUCCUCACAUGUCAACUGAGUACCCUCUUAUUGUCUUCUCUGCUCCGAAGAUGUGUCCGGCCCCUUCUAACUCUCUCCUUCAUCCGGGCUAGCAGAUGACCCCAGUGGUCCCCAAUUUCUGGCAGACAUGUCUCCAUCUUCUACCUGGCAUAUUUUACCUGCCUCAGUGU
rnacentral:lncRNA from 1 species